rnacentral:rRNA from 1 species
GUCGAACGCUCACCUUCGGGUGGGAGUGGCAGACGGGUGAGUAACACGUGGGAACGUACCCUUUGGUUCGGGACAACUCUGGGAAACUGGAGCUAAUACCGGAUACGCCCUUUUGGGGAAAGGUUUACUGCCGAAGGAUCGGCCCGCGUCUGAUUAGCUAGUUGGUGGGGUAACGGCCUACCAAGGCGACGAUCAGUAGCUGGUCUGAGAGGAUGAUCAGCCACACUGGGACUGAGACACGGCCCAGACUCCUACGGGAGGCAGCAGUGGGGAAUAUUGGACAAUGGGCGCAAGCCUGAUCCAGCCAUGCCGCGUGAGUGAUGAAGGCCUUAGGGUUGUAAAGCUCUUUUAUCCGGGACGAUAAUGACGGUACCGGAGGAAUAAGCCCCGGCUAACUUCGUGCCAGCAGCCGCGGUAAUACGAAGGGGGCUAGCGUUGCUCGGAAUCACUGGGCGUAAAGGGCGCGUAGGCGGCGUUUUAAGUCGGGGGUGAAAGCCUGUGGCUCAACCACAGAAUGGCCUUCGAUACUGGGACGCUUGAGUCUGGUAGAGGUUGGUGGAACUGCGAGUGUAGA